rnacentral:rRNA from 1 species
CAGUCGCCGCGGUAAUACGUAGGUGGCAAGCGUUGUCCGGAAUUAUUGGGCGUAAAGGGCUCGCAGGCGGUUUCUUAAGUCUGAUGUGAAAGCCCCCGGCUCAACCGGGGAGGGUCAUUGGAAACUGGGAGACUUGAGUGCAGAAGAGGAGAGUGGAAUUCCACGUGUAGCGGUGAAAUGCGUAGAGAUGUGGAGGAACACCAGUGGCGAAGGCGACUCUCUGGUCUGUAACUGACGCUGAGGAGCGAAAGCGUGGGGAGCGAACAGGAUUAGAUACCCCCGUAGUCCCUGUCUCUUAUAA